AAAAAACAACAACAUAAAAAACAUGACAAGCAGCAGUCUACAAAACACAACAUUGAAAACUAAAGACUGAGAAUCGAAUAGGUGCUCCGAUAGGGUAAAUAGGUCCUGCUGCACCUAUCGUGCUAUAUGGUUACAGAUGACAGCAAGAAUUAUACACUAUGGUACAGUUGAACAAGGAUGUUACAGGUAGCAGUAGACGGCACAGUUGACAAACAAUGUUACAGGUAGCAGUAGAUGGUACAGAUGACAAAUGAUGUUACAGGUGGAGGUAGAUGGUACAGUUGACAAACAAUGUUACAGGUGGCAGUAGAUGGUACAGUUGACAAAUUAUGUUACAGGUGGCAGUAGAUGGUACAGUUGACAAAUGAUGUUACAGGUGGCAUAAGAUGGUACAGUUGACAAACAAUGUUACAGGUGGCAGUAGAUGGUAUAGUUAACAAGUGAUGUUACAGAUGCCAGUAGAAUGUACAGUUGACAAAUGAUGUUGCAGAUGGCAGUAGAUGGUAUAGUUGACAAAUUAUGUUACCAGUGGGCAGUGGCAGUAGAUGUUCAAGUUUAUAAACAAUGUCACAGGUGGCAGUAGAUGGUACAGUUGACAAAUGAUGUUACAGAUGACAGUGGAUGGUACAGUUGACAAAUGAUGUUACAGGUGGCAGGAGAUGGUACAGUUGACAAAUGUUGUUACAGAUGGCAGUCGAUGGUACAGUUGACAAACAAUUUUACAGGUUGCAGUAGAUGGGACAGUUGACAAAUGAUGUUAAAGGUGGCAGGAGAUGGUACAGUUGAUAAAUGAUGUUACAAAUGGCAGUAGAUGGUACAGUUGACAAACAUUGUUACAGGUGGCAAUAGAUAGUACAGUUGACAAAUGAUGUUACAGGUGGCAGUAGUUGGUACAGUUGACAAAUGAUUUUCCAGAUGACAGUAGAUGGUACAGUUGACAAAUGAUGUUACAGAUGACAGUAGAUGGUAAAGUUGACAUAUGAUGUUACAGGUGGCAAUAGAUGGUACAGUUGACAAAUGAUGUUAUAGAUGGCAGUAGAUGGUACAGUUGACUAAUGAUGUUGCAGGUGGCAGUAGAUGGUACAGUUGACAAAUGAUGUUAUAGAUGGCAGUAGAUGGUACAGUUUAUAAACUAUGGUACAGGUGGCAGUAGAUGUUACAGUUUAUAAACUAUGUUACAAGUGGCAGUAGAUGGUACAGUUGACAAAUGAUGUUAUAGAAUGCAGUAGAUGGUACAGAUGACGAAUGAUGUUACAGGUGGCAGUAGAUGGUACAGUUGACAAAUAAUGUUACAGGUGGCAGGAGAUGGUACAGUUGACUAAUGAUGGUACAGGUGGCGGUAGAUGGUACAGAUGACUAAUGAUGUUACAGGUGGCAGUAGAUGGUACAGUUGACAAAUUAUGUUACAGGUGGCAGUAGAUGGUACAGUUAACACAUGAUGUUCCAGAUGACAGUAGAUGGUACAGUUGACAAAUGAUGUUACAGGUGGCAGUAGAUGGUACAGUUGACAAAUGAUGUUACAAGAUGCAAGAGAUGGUACAGUUGACAAAUGAUGUUACAGGUGGCAGUAGAUGGUACAGUUGACAAAUGAUGUUACAGGUGGCAGUAGAUGGUACAGUUGACAAAUUAUGUUACAGGUGGCAGUAGAUGGUACAGAUGACAAACAAUAUUACAGAUGGCAGUAGAUGGUACAGAUGACAAACAAUGUUACAGGUGGCAGUAGAUGGUAUAGUUAACAAGUGAUGUUACAGAUGCCAGUAGAUGGUACAGUUGACUAAUGAUGGUACAGGUGGCAGUAGGUGGUACAGAUGACUAAUGAUGUUACAGGUGGCAGUAGAUGGUACAGUUGACAAACAAUGUUACAGGUGGCAGUAGAUGGUACAGUUGACAAAUGAUGUUACAGGUGGCAGUAGAUGGUACAGUUGACAAAUUAUGUUACAGGUGGCAGUAGAUGGUACAGAUGACAAACAAUAUUACAGAUGGCAGUAGAUGGUACAGAUGACAAAUGACAUUACGGAUGACAGUAGAUGGUACAGAUGAUGAAUGAUGUUACAGGUGGCAUAAUAUGGUACAGAUGACAAACAAUGUUACAGGUAUCAGUAGAUGGUACAGAUGACAAAUGAUGUUACAGGUGGCAGUAGAUGGUAUAGAUGACAAAUGAUGUUUGAGAUGGCAGUAGAUGGUACAGUUGACAAAUGAUGUUACAGAUGACAGUAGAUGGUAGAGAUGACGAAUGAUGUUACAGGUGGCAUAAGAUGGAACAGAUGACAAAUGAUGUUACAGAUGGCAGCAGGUUGUACAGAUGACAAAUGAUGUUACAGGUGGCAGUAGAUGGUACAGAUGACAAAUGAUGUUACAGGUGGCAGUAGAUGGUACAGAUGACAAAUGAUGUUACAGAUGGCAGUAGAUGGUACAGAUGAGGAAUGAUGUUACAGGUGGCAUAAGAUGGUACAGAUGACAAAUGAUGUUACAGGUAGCAGUAGAUGGUACAGAUGACAAAUGAUGUUACAAGUGGCAGGAGAUGGUACAGUUGACGAAUGAUGUUACAGGUGGCAGUAGAUGGUACAGAUGAGGAAUGAUGUUACAGGUGGCAGGAGAUGGUACAGAUGAGGAAUGAUGUAACAGGUGGCAGUAGAUGGUACAGAUGACAAAAGAUAUUACAGAUGGUAGUAGAUGGUACAGAUGACGAAUGAUGUUACAGGUGGCAUAAGAUGGAACCGAUGACAAACAAUGUUACAGGUAUCAGUAGAUGGUACAGAUGACAAAUGAUGUUACAGAUGGCAGUAGAUGGUACAGUUGACAAAUGAGGUUACAGGUGGCAGUAGAUGGUACAGAUGACAAAUGAUGUUACAGAUGGCAGCAGGUGGUACAGAUGACAAAUGAUGUUACAGGUGGCAGUAGAUGGUACAGAUGACAAAUGAUUUUACAGGUGGCAGUAGAUGGUACAGAUGACAAAUGAUGUUACAGAUGGCAGUAGAUGGUACAAAUUACAAAUGAUAUUACAGAUGACAGUAGAUGGUACAGAUGACGAAUGAUGUCACAGGUGGCAUAAGAUGGUACAGUUGACAAAUGAUGUUACAGGUGGCAGUAGAUGGUACAGUUGACAAAUGAUGUUACAGGUGGCAGGAGAUGGUACAGUUGACUUAUGAUGUUACAGAUGGCAGUAGAUGGUACAGAUGACAAAUAAUAUUACAGAUGACAGUAGAUGGUACAGUUGACAAAUGAUGUUACAGGUGGCAGUAGAUGGUACAGAUGACAAAUUAUGUUACAGGUGGCAGUAGAUGCUACAGAUGACGAAUGAUGUUACAGGUGGCAGUAGAUGGUACAGAUGACAAAUGAUAUUACAGAUGACAGUAGAUGGUACAGAUGACGAAUGAUGUUACAGAGGCAUAAGAAGGUACAGAUGACAAAUGAUGUUACAGGUGGCAGUAGAUGGUACAGAUGACAAAUGAUGUUACAGGUGGCAGUAGAUGGUAAAGUUGACAAAUGAUGUUACAGGUGGCAGUAGAUGGUAAAGUUGACAAAUGAUGUUACAGGUGGCAAUAGAUGGUACAGUUGACAAAUGAUGUUACAGGUGGCAGUAGAUUGUAAAGUUGACAAAUGAUGUUACAUGUGGCAGUAGAUGGUACAGAUGACAAAUUAUGUUACAGGUGGCAGUAGAUGGUACAGAUGACGAAUGAUGUUACAGGUGGCAGUAGAUGGUACAGAUGACAAAUGAUGUUACAGGUGGCAGUAGAUGGUACAGAUGACAAAUGAUGUUACAGGUGGCAGUAGAUGGUACAGAUGACAAAUGAUGUCACAGAUGGCAGUAGAUGGUACAGUUGACAAAUGAUGUUACAGAUGACAGUAGAUGGUAGAGUUGACAAAUGAUGUAACAGGUGGCAGUAGAUGGUACAGAUGACAAAUGAUGUUACAGGUGGCAGUAGAUGGUACAGUUGACAAAUGUUGUUACAGGUGGCAGUAGAUAAUACAGUUGACAAACAAUGUUACAGGUGGCAGUAGUUGGCAGUAGUUGGUACAGAUGACGAAUGAUGUUACAGGUGGCAGUAGAUGGUAAAGUUGACAAAUGAUGUUAUAGAUGGCAGUGCAUGGUACAAUUGAUAAAUGAGUAUACAAUAUCUCUGUAUCAGGUGUGGAAACAGUCUUGUAGUAUACAAUAUCUCAGUAGCAGGCAUGAAAACAGUUUUGUAGUAUACAAUACUUCUGUACUCUUGGAG